rnacentral:lncRNA from 1 species
CUGUUUCGGUAGUUUUCAUAAAGACGUAUUUACCUCCAGCUGUGCUAUUGUAAGCCCAAAGUCUCUGAACCUUUACUCCAUCUUCCGUCCCAUUUCCUUCUAUACAAAUUUAUUAGAUAAAUAUCAGGAUUUUGGCCAUCUCACUCGCUUGGUAGAACUACAUGUUCUAGAUACUGGAUGGAAUUGUGAAUUUCUAUAUCAUAUACAUUACUGGUAAGAGCGUCUUCCUGGGUGGGUAAACGGGGUGGGGGCAUGCAAGUUCUCUCAAUUUUGGACAUUCAUAAUAUAAUCUAUAAUAAAUUACGUCCUUUG